CGCUAGCGGCAGGCUUAACACAUGCAAGUCGAGGGGUAUUGGUUUUCGGACCAAGAGACCGGCGCACGGGUGCGUAACGCGUAUGCAAUCUACCUUUCACAGAGGGAUAGCCCAGAGAAAUUUGGAUUAAUACCUCAUAGUAUACUGAGUUGGCAUCAACUUAGUAUUAAAGUCACAACGGUGAAAGAUGAGCAUGCGUCCCAUUAGCUAGUUGGUAAGGUAACGGCUUACCAAGGCUACGAUGGGUAGGGGUCCUGAGAGGGAGAUCCCCCACACUGGUACUGAGACACGGACCAGACUCCUACGGGAGGCAGCAGUGAGGAAUAUUGGACAAUGGGCGCAAGCCUGAUCCAGCCAUGCCGCGUGCAGGAUGACGGUCCUAUGGAUUGUAAACUGCUUUUAUACGAGAAGAAACACUGGUUCGUGAACCAGCUUGACGGUAUCGUAAGAAUAAGGAUCGGCUAACUCCGUGCCAGCAGCCGCGGUAAUACGGAGGAUCCAAGCGUUAUCCGGAAUCAUUGGGUUUAAAGGGUCCGUAGGCGGUUUAGUAAGUCAGUGGUGAAAGCCCAUCGCUCAACGGUGGAACGGCCAUUGAUACUGCUAAACUUGAAUUAUUAGGAAGUAACUAGAAUAUGUAGUGUAGCGGUGAAAUGCUUAGAGAUUACAUGGAAUACCAAUUGCGAAGGCAGGUUACUACUAAUGGAUUGACGCUGAUGGACGAAAGCGUGGGUAGCGAACAGGAUUAGAUACCCUGGUAGUCCACGCCGUAAACGAUGGAUACUAGCUGUUGGGGGCAACUUCAGUGGCUAAGCGAAAGUGAUAAGUAUCCCACCUGGGGAGUACGUUCGCAAGAAUGAAACUCAAAGGAAUUGACGGGGGCCCGCACAAGCGGUGGAGCAUGUGGUUUAAUUCGAUGAUACGCGAGGAACCUUACCAAGGCUUAAAUGUAGAUUGACCGAUUUGGAAACAGAAUUUUCGCAAGACAAUUUACA
rnacentral:rRNA from 1 species